rnacentral:rRNA from 1 species
GCGCAAGCCUGAUGCAGCCAUGCCGCGUGUAUGAAGAAGGCCUUCGGGUUGUAAAGUACUUUCAGCGGGGAGGAAGGCGAUAAGGUUAAUAACCUUGUCGAUUGACGUUACCCGCAGAAGAAGCACCGGCUAACUCCGUGCCAGCAGCCGCGGUAAUACGGAGGGUGCAAGCGUUCAUC